rnacentral:ncRNA from 1 species
UCAAAUGCAACGAUGGAGAAGAGUAAGCAGCGCCUCUAUACAGGGAGGAGAUGCCGCAGAUUGAGAGCGUCUCUACAGAAUCAGGCUGCCGAAGUUCGCUCCGGAGCAGUUCCUUGAACCGGCAACGCCGAAGUAGAGGAUACCGGUUUCGAGCCGUUAAUCGAUCGAGUGAGAGAAUUGGCGCGCCGCAAAUGGUUUUGUUCGCAUAUUUCCUGCGGCGGAGGUACGGCGAUUCUCUAACAAGGGUGGUACCACGGUCUUUUCGUCCCUUAC